AAUAAAGUUUCUGUGGCUUGUGUUUCCAGCUCGAGGACGUGAUGGAAACUGAGACGUAUAAAAAUGCCAAAGUCAUCCUGGAGCGCUUUGCUCCAGAAGCGAAGAGGAAGGCUGACCUGGAGUCGACCCCAGUGCGUCCACAGGAGACUCCCAGGCCAGAACAAGAUGGAAGGUAGCAGAGGAAGGAGCCUUGGCUGCGG